GAUGAACGCUGGCGGCGUGCCUAAUACAUGCAAGUCGAGCGAACGGACGAGAAGCUUGCUUCUCUGAUGUUAGCGGCGGACGGGUGAGUAACACGUGGAUAACCUACCUAUAAGACUGGGAUAACUUCGGGAAACCGUAGCUAAUACCGGAUAAUAUUUUGAACCGCAUGGUUCAAAAGUGAAAGACGGUCUUGCUGUCACUUAUAGAUGGAUCCGCGCUGCAUUAGCUAGUUGGUAAGGUAACGGCUUACCAACGCAACGAUGCAUAGCCGACCUGAGAGGGUGUUCGGCCACACUGGAACUGAGACACGGUCCAGACUCCUACGGGAGGCAGCAGUAGGGAAUCUUCCGCAAUGGGCGAAAGCCUGACGGAGCAACGACGCGUGAGUUAUAGAGGUCUUCGGAUCGGAAAACUCUGUUAUUAGGGAAGAACAUAUGUGUAAGUAACUGUGCACAGCUUGACGGUACCUAAUCAGAAAGCCACGGCUAACUACGUG
rnacentral:rRNA from 1 species